rnacentral:ncRNA from 1 species
AGGAUUAAAAGGCAAACCCAGUCGAAAGUUGGGGACGCAAAGCCUCGGGCCUAACGUCUAUUGGAUUAUGGCAGCCGGGCUGCCAUU